rnacentral:rRNA from 1 species
UACGUAGGGUGCAAGCGUUGUCCGGAAUUAUUGGGCGUAAAGAGCUCGUAGGCGGUCUGUCGCGUCGGCUGUGAGAUCCCGAGGCUCAACCUCGGGUCUGCAGUCGAUACGGGCAAACUAGAGUAUUGCAGGGGAGACUGGAAUUCCUGGUGUAGCGGUGAAAUGCGCAGAUAUCAGGAGGAACACCGGUGGCGAAGGCGGGUCUCUGGGCAAUAACUGACGCUGAGGAGCGAAAGCGUGGGGAGCGAACAGG